UGUAGCUGUGAGAAACUCUGAGAACUGCCACUCUUGUAGAGGUGCUGAAAUUCACCAGAACUGUCCAGUCUGGCUACAGAGUCCUGACAGAGAAUAAGCA